rnacentral:rRNA from 1 species
CCUACGGGAGGCAGCAGUGGGGAAUAUUGGACAAUGGGCGAAAGCCUGAUCCAGCAAUGCCGCGUGAGUGAUGAAGGCCUUAGGGUUGUAAAGCUCUUUUACCAGGGAUGAUAAUGACAGUACCUGGAGAAUAAGCUCCGGCUAACUCCGUGCCAGCAGCCGCGGUAAUACGGAGGGAGCUAGCGUUGUUCGGAAUUACUGGGCGUAAAGAGUACGUAGGCGGUUAUUCAAGUCAGAGGUGAAAGCCCGGGGCUCAACCCCGGAACUGCCUUUGAAACUAGAUAGCUAGAGUCUUGGAGAGGUUAGUGGAAUUCCGAGUGUAGAGGUGAAAUCCGUAGAUAUUCGGAAGAACACCAGUGGCGAAGGCGACUAACUGGACAAGUACUGACGCUGAGGUACGAAAGCGUGGGGAGCAAACAGGAUUAGAUACCCUGGUAGUCCACGCCGUAAACGAUGAUAACUAGUUGUUCGGGCACUUGGUGCCUGAGUGACGCAGCUACGACAUUAAGUUAAUUCCGUCCGUCGGGUAGGUACGGUCGGCGAAGAAGUUAAAACUAACAAAGUAAGUAAGUUAGGUACGGUUAAGGUAGGACGUUGCCGAACGGACGACCGAACCGAAGGGGAGGUUAGGG